UUAUAAUACAUUUGAAUGCCAAAAGCAAGUUAUUGUUUUUAACUUUUGAAAUAUGAUUGUUUUGGGGCAUUUCAGUUUUAUUGGACAGGCAGUAGAGAUCUACUGGAAACAGUGGAGAGGGAGGAGAUGAUAUGCAGCAUACGGCCCAGCCGGAUGGUUGCUGCUCCGUGUGGAACGUGUCCUAUCAGGUGUAACAUCUACCAAUGGUUGUACAUGACAGAGACCUCCUCCGCCUCUUUGCUGUCUUACUAGUCAAUCCUUCUGAUCAGGUCCUUUCCUAAAUAGUGAAAGGAUCAUGCCAGCCCACAUCAAACACCUGAUCAAGAGCUUGUGAACCUCACUGCUGCAGACACCUGUGUGAUAUUCCACUCUGACUGGAACCCUCAAAAUGACCUGCAGGCUCAAGCUCGGUGUCAUCGUUUUGGCCAGUCUAAGGC